rnacentral:rRNA from 1 species
GUGCCAGCCGCCGCGGUAAUACGAAGGACCCAAGCGUUAUCCGGAUUUAUUGGGUUUAAAGGGUGCGUAGGCGGACUUGUAAGUCAGUGGUGAAAUCCUGCGGCUUAACUGCAGAACUGCCAUUGAAACUGCUUGUCUUGAGUACAUUUGAAGCGGGCGGAAUGUGUCAUGUAGCGGUGAAAUGCAUAGAUAUGACACAGAACACCGAUUGCGAAGGCAGCUCGCUAAACUGUAACUGACGCUGAGGCACGAAAGCGUGGGUAGCAAACAGGAUUAGAAACCCUUGUAGUCC